UACGGAGGGUGCAAGCGUUAAUCGGAAUUACUGGGCGUAAAGCGUGCGUAGGCGGUUUGGUAAGUCUGGUGUGAAAUCCCCGAGCUCAACUUGGGAAUUGCAAUGGAUACUGGCAGGCUGGAGUAUGGUAGAGGAAGGUGGAAUUGCCGGUGUAGCGGUGAAAUGCGUAGAGAUCGGGAGGAACACCAGUGGCGAAGGCGGCCUUCUGGACCAAUACUGACGCUCAUGCACGAAAGCGUGGGGAGCAAACAGG
rnacentral:rRNA from 1 species